AGUGAGUUAUGCCACCACUGCCUCUUAGCGGAAGCUUUUCUGCUUCAGAGAAAUGUUGAAAAUACGGUUAGAAGAUCUUUCUGGCCAUAGGAGUGUCUUCAUCAAGUACCUCAGUGCUCCUCGGGUAUAAUGCAUAGGUACGGGAGGAUUGAAUGGCACUAGAAGUGCAGGGAGAUGCAGCACUGGAUUCCUGGGGCCAGCUGUAGCUGGGCUUUGUGGUCCCAGCUGUGCCUGGAUGAACCAGCAGAGGCAGAGCCAGGACAGUUCACUUGCAGACCUUGCUCCUCCAUCCUUUUAGUGAUGGCUGUCCUUGAAACUGGAUACCAGUGUCUAGUACCCGUAAAAAGAAGCUGAGCAAGUCCAAUCUUCUACUCUAAGUGAAGGAUUCUUACAGAUUUCUUGGAUAUAUUGAAAGACUGCAUCAGAAUUCAGCUUGAGUCUGUGCCAGCAACUGUGCAGAUUCAUGGCAGCAUCCAUACUGUAGUACUGCCUGUGCACUGAGGCAUGAAGCUUCUUGGUCUCCCUCUGGAUACUGAGGAGAUCGAGCUGUUUUUCAUCCAUUUCCCUUCUCUCAUGUGUCUGACUCGAACCAUUUUGAGUUUGUCGAUCAUCAGAGAAGGCUCCCUGUGGCGUGUUAGCUCUGAUCUCCCUUCAUACUCAAAGGAAGGCAGAGGUUGUAAUGAUGAACAAUUCCCUGGGGUGGGUGCACGAGGGUUGGAGGUUACAGUGCAAGCUCAGCCACAACCUGUUUGUAAUCCUUUCCAUGUGAUGCAGGUGAGAAGGUAUGUCAUCUAACCAUAUAAAAAUCAAACAAAAUCUAUUCUUUCAUUACUGAAGCUGAAUAGACAAGAGGUGUAUAAAUGGAUAUUUAAAGAGCCACCCUAUAUCUCAUUUAAUAAUGCAUUAUUUUUAGUAAAUAUAUUUUAGGGAGGUAGUGGAAUCAGUUAGUGGAAGAAUCACAAGGAAACAGGAGACCAAAUUGCUAUAAGCCUAUAUUUUUGGCUAAGAUUCCCUAGCUGUAAAGAGUAUUGCUGCAUAAUUCUCCCUUUGGCAAGGUCUAUGCGUCACCAUGAUGCAUCUAUAAACAGAAUGUGAAACGGCUGUGCUUUGUUAGAUGAAGCCAGUAAUUCACUAAGCACUCGGAUCUGUACUGAACUCUCCUUCAGGAUGUGGAGUGUGUGUCACCACUGUUCAAGCUGGGGGAAACAGGGGGCUUGGCACCCCAGUGAAUGUAUGCUGCUAUGCUGACUGGAGUCCUACAGAAAAAAAAUCUAGCAGUAAUACAUGAUAAUUUGCAUAAGUGGACGUGGCUUCCCUCUGUGUGUGUUGCUCUCUGGUGCAUUUUCAGCAUGCUUGCUGGAAACUACUUGUACUGCACAGCAGUUGCUCUGUCCUCCUGAAAAGUGUAAACAAAUUGUUGUGGUUAAUGAUUAUAGUUGUUAAGUAUUUGUUUUUAGUAACUUCUGCAAUUAUCUUCAGGCUCUUACCAAAUAUGUAUAUAUAUUUAUAUAAAAGAUUCAUUUCCUAUUCAAAAGCCAUUUUAAUUUUUCAAGAUAUCAUCAUAGGUGUAAUGUUGCUUCAGGCUGGAUAUGGCUAAUGGGAUAGAAUUUCAUCAGGCAGGUGUCUGAACAGUGAGUUUCUAUUGAAGUAAUCUUUUCAACCUUAGGCACCUUUGAAAAAUGAUAUUCUGAGGGUUUCAGAGAGAAGAGAUCUUUUUAGAUCACAUCAUUGAAUGAGGUGGCUAAAAAAAAACCAAACACAUAAAC